rnacentral:rRNA from 1 species
GAUGAACGCUGGCGGCGUGCCUAAUACAUGCAAGUCGAGCGAACAGACGAGGAGCUUGCUCCUCUGACGUUAGCGGCGGACGGGUGAGUAACACGUGGAUAACCUACCUAUAAGACUGGGAUAACUUCGGGAAACCGGAGCUAAUACCGGAUAACAUGUUGAACCGCAUGGUUCAAUAGUGAAAGACGGUCUUGCUGUCACUUAUAGAUGGAUCCGCGCCGCAUUAGCUAGUUGGUAAGGUAACGGCUUACCAAGGCAACGAUGCGUAGCCGACCUGAGAGGGUGAUCGGCCACACUGGAACUGAGACACGGUCCAGACUCCUACGGGAGGCAGCAGUAGGGAAUCUUCCGCAAUGGGCGAAAUCCUGACGGAGCAACGCCGCGUGAGUGAAGAAGGUCUUCGGAUCGUAAAACUCUGUUAUUAGGGAAGAACAAAUGUGUAAGUAACUAUGCACGUCUUGACGGUACCUAAUCAGAAAGCCACGGCUAACUACGUG